rnacentral:rRNA from 1 species
GGANCUUUAGUCGUCUCCGAAUGCAUCCAGAUGAUUANUGAUCAUGGCUCAGAUUGAACCGCUGGCGUNACAGGCCUAACACAUGCAAGUCGAGCGGAUGAGUGGAGCUUGCUCCAUGAUUCAGCGGCGGACGGGUGAGUAAUGCCUAGGUAUCUGCCUGGUAGUGGGGGACAACGUUUCGAAAGGAACGCUAAUACCGCAUACGUCCUACGGGAGAAAGCAGGGGACCUUCGGGCCUUGCGCUAUCAGAUAGAGCCUAGGUCGGAUUAGCUAGUUUGGUUGGGGGGUAAAGGCCUACCAGGCGACAUCCGUCUGGUCUGAAGAUGAUUAUGAUUAGUCU